rnacentral:rRNA from 1 species
GACGAACGCUGGCGGCGUGCUUAACACAUGCAAGUCGAACGGAAAGGCCCUGCGUUUGUGGGGUGCUCGAGUGGCGAACGGGUGAGUAACACGUGAGUAACCUGCCCUUGACUUUGGGAUAACUUCAGGAAACUGGGGCUAAUACCGGAUAGGAGCUCCUGCUGCAUGGUGGGGGUUGGAAAGUUUCGGCGGUUGGGGAUGGACUCGCGGCUUAUCAGCUUGUUGGUGGGGUAGUGGCUUACCAAGGCUUUGACGGGUAGCCGGCCUGAGAGGGUGACCGGCGACCUUGGGACUGAGAUACGGCCCAGACGCCUACGGGAGGCAGCAGUGGGGAAUAUUGCACAAUGGGCGGAAGCGUGAUGCAGCAACGCCGCGUGCGGGAUGACGGCCUUCGGGUUGUAAACCGCUUUCGCCUGUGACGAAGCGUGAGUGACGGUAAUGGGUAAAGAAGCACCGGCUAACUACGUG